GAUGAACGCUAGCGGCAGGCUUAACACAUGCAAGUCGAGGGGUAACAUGAUAGCAAUAUUGAUGACGACCGGCAAACGGGUGCGGAACACGUACGCAACAUACCCUAAUCUGGGGCAUAGCCCGGUGAAAACCGGAUUAACACCCCAUAAGAUCGUAGAGUGGCAUCAUUUAGCGAUUAAAAAUUUAUUGGAUUAGGAUUGGCGUGCGUCCCAUUAGGUAGUUGGUAGGGUAACGGCCUACCAAGCCGACGAUGGGUAGCUGGUGUGAGAGCACGACCAGCCACACGGGCACUGAGACACGGGCCCGACUCCUACGGGAGGCAGCAGUGAGGAAUAUUGGUCAAUGGGCGAGAGCCUGAACCAGCCAUGCCGCGUGAAGGAUGAAGGCGUUCUGCGUUGUAAACUUCUUUUGCGAGGGAAGAAACCUGAUUUUUCUAAAUCAGCCGACGGUACCUCGAGAAUAAGCACCGGCUAACUCCGUGCCAGCAGCCGCGGUAAACAUA
rnacentral:rRNA from 1 species